UAAGCUUAACAGUUUACCAACUAUUAAACUAUAGAAUGGCACUGAAUGAUUAAAUUCACCUGUAAGAUAAAAAUAACUUUUCUGGGGCUGGCCCUGUGGCAUAGCGG